UACGUAGGGUGCAAGCGUUAAUCGGAAUACUGGGCGUAAAGCGUGCGCAGGCGGUGAUGUAAGACAGUUGUGAAAUCCCCGGGCUCAACCUGGGAACUGCAUCUGUGACUGCAUCGCUGGAGUGCGGCAGAGGGGGAUGGAAUUCCGCGUGUAGCAGUGAAAUGCGUAGAGAUCGUAAGGAAGACCAGUGGCGAAGGCGAGUCUCUGGACAGUUACUGACGCUGAGGCACGAAGGCCAGGGGAGCAAACGGG
rnacentral:rRNA from 1 species